CCUACGGGAGGCAGCAGUAAGGAAUAUUGGUCAAUGGACGAAAGUCUGAACCAGCCAUGCCGCGUGAAGGAUUAAGGCCCUCUGGGUUGUAAACUUCUUUUAUCUGGGACGAAAAAAGGGUAUUCUUACUCACUUGACGGUACCAGAGGAAUAAGCACCGGCUAACUCCGUGCCAGCAGCCGCGGUAAUACGGAGGGUGCAAGCGUUAUCCGGAUUUACUGGGUUUAAAGGGUGCGUAGGUGGGUUUGUAAGUCAGUGGUGAAAUCUCCGAGCUUAACUCGGAAACUGCCAUUGAUACUAUAGAUCUUGAAUUAUCUGGAGGUAAGCGGAAUAUGUCAUGUAGCGGUGAAAUGCUUAGAUAUGACAUAGAACACCAAUUGCGAAGGCAGCUUACUACGGAUAUAUUGACACUGAGGCACGAAAGCGUGGGGAUCAAACAGGAUUAGAUACCCUGGUAGUCCACGCCCUAAACGAUGGAUACUCGACAUCAGCGAUACACUGUUGGUGUCUGNGNGAAGANAUAUAUCCACCNCGAGAGANGCAGAGUAGUAACGUACGAAGAAGUAGAGGCGUGAGAGAGCGACGACGACGACGAGGGAGGAGG
rnacentral:rRNA from 1 species